GCGACUGAGCUUUAUGAGGAGAUGACAGUUCUCCUCGCUGUGCAUCUUGUCAAAGCGAUCCCUUCUUGACCGGUGGAUUUAGGGUCUUAUGUGCGUAGAUUUAGUGUUUCUUGCGGCAGCUCUACAGAGCUAAAGAAGGAGCUAGGGUUUGAGAGUCCGGUUAUACGGAACAGGCAUCGGGGCCGCGGGACUACCUCCGAAGGAAGUACCAAUUUUGUGAUACUUGCUGUCUUGACUCUGGUUCUCAAAGGCACUUGGCGUUUCAUCAGGUAGUCUUGACUUUACUAGUAGUCGUAUGGGGACUUCGUCUUGGAAUGUUCCUCCUUAUGAGGAUCCUGAAGUGGGGUGAAGAUCCACGCUUUGAUGAAAAGCGUGAAAAUAUGGG